GGAUGAGUAGCUCAGUUGGUUAGAGCAUCACGUUCACAUCGUGGGGGUCGUUGGUUCGAGUCCAAUCUCAUCCACCA
rnacentral:tRNA from 1 species